GACGAACGCUGGCGGCGUGCUUAACACAUGCAAGUCGAGCGGUAAGGCCCUUUCGGGGGUACACGAGCGGCGAACGGGUGAGUAACACGUAGGGUGACCUGCCCUCAGCUCUGGGAUAAGCCUGGGAAACCGGGUCUAAUACUGGAUAUGACUCCAUGACGCAUGUUGUGGGGUGGAAAGCCUUGUGCGGCUGAGGAUGGGCCCGCGGCCUAUCAGCUUGUUGGUGGGGUGAUGGCCUACCAAGGCGACGACGGGUAGCCGGCCUGAGAGGGCGACCGGCCACACUGGGACUGAGACACGGCCCAGACUCCUACGGGAGGCAGCAGUGGGGAAUCUUGCGCAAUGGGCGAAAGCCUGACGCAGCGACGCCGCGUGAGGGAUGACGGCC
rnacentral:rRNA from 1 species